UGAGAAGCUUUUCGAAAUAGGCUGUGACUGGUACCUAGUGAGCGUUUGUUCACCAGAAAGGUUUAUAGUGGCGUUAAAAAGAGUUAUGAGAGAUGCAAAGCAUCGAGGAUCCAUCAAAUUGUUGUUUUUGGUUGACAAUAAAUAUUACAGCACCAGCAGACUCAAUGCAUUAUUCCAACUCGCGUCGGAAUUUUGGCCAGAUACAACUGUUCUAUCAAUGGAAAACUCUAAUUCAGAUAUUUUGAUGGAGUUCAAAACAAGUGACUGGAAUACUGGUGCUGUGGAAACAAUAGAAUCCUGUUACUUGAGUGAAUGUAAUACUUCCUCCUUCAACUUGUUCCCCAACAAACUCUAUCAACUCAACAAAAAA